GUCAGUGAAAGCGAAUUUGCGUUUUUCAUUUUCCGGCAAGUGUUUUAUUUUUUCCCCACUUAUUUCGUCGGAAUACCGUUUCAACCGUUCAACUUUUAUAUUCGUGCGUACAUACACGUCAAUUAUGACAGCCGGUAUGCGACGAGUUAUGAGACGUAGAGGUCCCUCUAGGUGAUACGAGAGGACGGAGAAACAGUUUCAUCAGACGACUGGUCAUCGGACAUCGGACGGCGCGGUAGCGCGAACUCAGCAACUGAUAAGCAAUGCCCGCUCGUUAAUGGUCCGGCAUCACGGCUUGGCAAAAAGCCAAUGCAUGCUUGUUAGAAUAAGAAUCUCGCAGUCGCGUCUAUUCCAUCUACCGCAUUCUAACGCGUUUACGUGUUUGCGCGUUAAAAUGUAUAUAUGAUAUACAUUUGAAGUCUGCAAGUUGCAAGUGCAAAGUCAAAUAUGACGCCGAGUGUAUAAGCGCGACAAUCUGAAUCAUCUCAGCGUUCAUCUCAUGGCCAUUUAUGUUUCAUUCUCGAAAAAAUAUCUUCUAUCAUAUUUUUAAUCAAAGUACAUCUCGUUUAAUGCGCACAAUACGGCGACGAAAUAAAAUAUACAAUAUUUUAUACGUCUAUUACCAGGUAACUUCUCCUAUGUUUAAAAUUUUAAGAAUAUAAGUCUCGUUGAUUUCUUGACGAGAUUAAUAUAAAUUCUUUUUUUUUCCAAUAAGAAAAAAUAUAAUAUGAGAUAUCUCUUUUAAAUCAACAAUUUUUAUCGAUAACGAUAAUAUUUUUUCAAUAAUUAAUAAUUUUUAAUAAUUAUUAUUACUAAAUACAAUGUUUCUAUAACAGCAAGGUAGAGAGAAUUUAACAAUUUUCGAUACAUUUGAACAGCGUAACGCAAACCGAAAAAUGCAUAGCCGCUUAAAGCGUGUAUAUGUAUAUAUAUAUAGCAGCGAAGUGUGACGGGCAGAUGCGUUAUUUAUGUAGCGGUUCGCUAAGUACGUUUCGUUGUGCAAUACCUUCGAUUCUGACGAUCGGGGGUUACGGAUCGCCGACGAGGGUUGGUGUAUCCUCUGUAUUCUCUCUUUUUACAAGAAAGAGUCGGCGCGCAGAGAAACGCGCGGGGUGGAGACCCGAAUCCUGAGGCAGUGGAC